rnacentral:miRNA from 1 species
CUAAGAAUCACCUAGAGAUCUUGUUAAAAUACAGGUUCUCAUUCACUUGGUCUGGGAUGUGGCCUGAGAUCUCUGUUUCUACAAGAUUGUGGGUGAUGUCCAU